rnacentral:rRNA from 1 species
UACGAAGGGGGCUAGCGUUGCUCGGAAUCACUGGGCGUAAAGGGUGCGUAGGCGGGUUUUUAAGUCAGGGGUGAAAUCCUGGAGCUCAACUCCAGAACUGCCUUUGAUACUGAAGAUCUCGAGUCCGGGAGAGGUGAGUGGAACUGCGAGUGUAGAGGUGAAAUUCGUAGAUAUUCGCAAGAACACCAGUGGCGAAGGCGGCUCACUGGCCCGGUACUGACGCUGAGGCACGAAAGCGUGGGGAGCAAACAGGAUUAGAAACC